rnacentral:rRNA from 1 species
UACGGAGGGUGCAAGCGUUAUCCGGAAUCAUUGGGUUUAAAGGGUCCGCAGGCGGAUUUAUAAGUCAGUGGUGAAAGCCCGUCGCUCAACGACGGAACUGCCAUUGAUACUGUAAGUCUUGAAUUCGGUUGAAGUGGGCGGAAUAUGACAUGUAGCGGUGAAAUGCUUAGAUAUGUCAUAGAACACCGAUAGCGAAGGCAGCUCACUAGGCCUGGAUUGACGCUCAGGGACGAAAGCGUGGGGAGCAAACAGG